GAUGUCAGGGAGGUCUGGAUGCAGUAGCUGUCAUUUCCCUGGUUGCCAGGGAGCACCUGGCUGAUCUGGCUAACUGGGCAGGUGCCCUCUCCCCUCUGUUAUCUC
rnacentral:sRNA from 1 species